CGCGAAAAUAGUUGAGCUAAGUAAAAAUUAAGUAUUAGAUUUUUUUAUGUAGCAUAAUAUAAUUAAAUAAUUACUUAGGGGUGAGAGGCCUUCCAAAUCUAUAGAUAUCUCGAUACUUUUGAUAUACAUAUAGUGUGUUAACAACUAAGUAGUGAUAAGGCUACUUAGUUUCAUAAAAUGAUUGUUUUAUUAACAUUCUGGCUUAAUCGCUUAAUGUUUAAAUACAUUAAUAUGUUUUUAUUUAAAUUAUGUUUACUAAAAAGUGUUAUUUAAAUAAAUUUAAAUGUUAAUAAUGUAGUUAUUAGUAAUCUAAUAGUUAAUUAACAUGAACUCGGCAACACACCUUUCAACUGUUUAUCAAAAACAUAGUUAUGAGAAUAUAUUCAUAAUAAUUUCUGCUCAAUGAUUUAUUAAAUAGCCGCAGUACUCUGACUGUGCAAAGGUAGCGUAAUAAUUUGACUUAUAAUUGAAGUCUGGUAUGAAAGAAUAUAUGGGGGGUAUCUUUAUUUUAUAUAUAAAAUGAAUUUACUAAUUAAGUGCAAAUUCUUAUAUUUGAAAGAUAGACGAGAAGACCCUAGAAAUUUUUAUAAUUAUGGAAAAUUAAUUUUUGUUGGGGCAACAAAGUAACAAGUAAUUUACUGUGCUAUACAAGAAUAUUAUAUAUGUUAGAUUAAAUUACUCUAGGGAUAACAGCGUAAUUUUAAAGAGUUUGCGACCUCGAUGUUGGACUAGGGAACAAAUGCUUAGAA
rnacentral:rRNA from 1 species